rnacentral:rRNA from 1 species
AACGAACGCUGGCGACAUGCCUAACACAUGCAAGUCGAACGAGACCUUCGGGUCUAGUGGCGCACGGGUGCGUAACGCGUGGGAACCUGCACUUAGGUUCGGACUAACUCCCCGAAAGGGGUGCUAAUACCGGAUAAUGUCUUCGGACCAAAGAUUUAUCGCCUUUGGAUGGGCCAGCGUUGGAUUAGCUCGUUGGUAGGGUAAAAGCCUACCAAGGCGACGAUCCAUAGCUGGUCUGAGAGGAUGAUCAGCCACACUGGGACUGAGACACGGCCCAGACUCCUACGGGAGGCAGCAGUGGGGAAUAGUGGACAAUGGGCGAAAGCCUGAUCCAGCAAUGCCGCGUGAGUGAUGAAGGCCUUAGGGUUGUAAAGCUCUUGUACCCGGGAUGAUAAUGACAGUACCGGGAGAAUAAGCUCCGGCUAACUCCGUG